GGCUACACAUGCAGUCGAACGUGAAGGGUCUUCCGGAUUACUUCGGUAUGAAAGAGGCCUGGAAAGUGGCGAACGGGUGAGUAACACGUAGGUGACCUGCCUCGAAGUGGGGGAUAACCAUUGGAAACGAUGGCUAAUACCGCAUAGUCCUAUCCUUGUGGGAACUUGGAUUGGUAAAGCUCCGGCGCUUCGAGAGGGGCCUGCGUCCGAUUAGCUAGUUGGUGAGGUAAAAGCUCACCAAGGCGACGAUCGGUAGCUGGUCUGAGAGGACGAUCAGUCACACGGGAACUGAGACACGGUCCCGACUCCUACGGGGGGCAGCAGUGAGGAAUAUUGCACAAUGGGGGAAACCCUGAUGCAGCAACGCCGCGUGGAGGAUGAAGGCCUUUGGGUCGUAAACUCCUUUUCUGUGGGAAGAGCAAGGACGGUACCGCAGGAAUAAGUCACGGCUAACUACGUGCCAGCAGCCGCGGUAACACGUAGGUGGCAAGCGUUAUCCGGAAUUACUGGGCGUAAAGCGCACGCAGGCGGCUACUCAAGUCUGACGUGAAAGCUCCUGGCUUAACCGGGAGAGGUCGUUGGAAACUGAGUGGCUUGAGGUAGUGAGAGGGGUGCAGAAUUCCCGGUGUAGUGGUGGAAUGCGUAGAUAUCGGGAGGAAUACCAGUGGCGAAAGCGGCACCCUGGCACUUACCUGACGCUCAUGUGCGAAAGCGUGGGGAGCGAACGGGAUUAGAUACCCCGGUAGUCCACGCCGUAAACGAUGAACACUAGGUGUAGGCAGUUUCAAACCUGUCUGUGCCGAAGCCAACGCGAUAAGUGUUCCGCCUGGGGAGUACGGCCGCAAGGCUAAAACUCAAAGGAAUUGACGGGGGCCCGCACAAGCAGCGGAGCGUGUGGUUUAAUUCGAUGCAACGCGAAGAACCUUACCUGGGUUUGACAUGUACGUAGUAGUGAACUGAAAAGGGAACGAGCCUUCGGGAGCGUACACAGUGCUGCAUGCUGUCGUCAGCUCGUGUCGUGAGAUGUUGGUUAGUCCGCACGAGCGCACCUCGUCGCUAGUACAGUGUCUAGCGAGACUGCCGUAUCAGCCGGGGAAGGUGGGGAUGACGUCAAGUC
rnacentral:rRNA from 1 species